GAAAUGCGAUAAGUAAUGCGAAUUGCAGAAUUCAGUGAAUCAUCGAAUCUUUGAACGCACAUUGCGCCCCUUGGUAUUCCAUGGGGCAUGCCUGUUCGAGCGUCAUUUGUACCCUCAAGCUCUGCUUGGUGUUGGGUGUUUGUCCCGUCUCCGCGCGUGGACUCGCCCCAAAGUGAUUGGCAGCCGGCGUACUGGUCCCGGAGCGCAGCACAUGUCGCGCAAACGAGUGCCUUGGUACGGCGGCGUCCAUAAGCCCCUCUCUCACGCUCUUGACCUCGGAUCAGGUAGGGAUACCCGCUGAACUUAAGC
rnacentral:misc_RNA from 1 species